GUUCCGUGAGAAAGAUGGCCGGGAACUCGAUCCUGCUGGCUGCUGUCUCUAUUCUCUCGGCCUGUCAGCAAAGUUAUUUUGCUUUGCAAGUUGGAAAGGCAAGAUUAAAAUACAAAGUUACGCCCCCAGCAGUCACUGGGUCACCAGAGUUUGAGAGAGUAUUUCGGGCACAACAAAACUGUGUGGAGUUUUAUCCUAUAUUCAUAAUUACAUUGUGGAUGGCUGGGUGGUAUUUCAACCAAGUUUUUGCUACUUGUCUGGGUCUGGUGUACAUAUAUGGCCGUCACCUAUACUUCUGGGGAUAUUCAGAAGCUGCUAAAAAACGGAUCACCGGUUUCCGACUGAGUCUGGGGAUUUUGGCCUUGUUGACCCUCCUAGGUGCCCUGGGAAUUGCAAACAGCUUUCUGGAUGAAUAUCUGGACCUCAAUAUUGCCAAGAAACUGAGGCGGCAAUUCUAACUUUUUCUCUUCCCUUUAAUACUUGCAGAAGCUGUUCCCACCAUGAAGUGGAGCCUCCCUACCUCCAGAUGAACUAGUUGGAAAUGGAAUUGUUAUGGUACUGAAUCUACAAAUGGAUUGCACUAUGUUCCAUGCAAAGUUGACUUUCCUCCCUUCCCUUUGCCACAUCCUUCAGAGUGCGGCAGUAAAUUCAGAAAGUAUCAUCAGUUGUGCAGUUGAAUGCAAAGGCUGGGAAUGAUUGAUCUCUCCCAUUAAAUAAAUGUUUAAAGAAUGAUAUCAAAAUUUUGAGAAAAGAACUGCAGUUAAUUAAAACCCAGGAAUAAUAUGUCUGCUUAAUUAAGAUUGGAGCUCCAGUGAGGAUCUUAAAAUAAACUAUACUUUGG
rnacentral:lncRNA from 1 species